rnacentral:rRNA from 1 species
AUGCCGUCCACCGCGUCUUGCUGCUUCGCCUCCUCCUCCUUCCCCCAUGGCCGCCCCCGCCUCCGCCUCCUCCUGAUCCACACCACCAUCACCUCGAGCCCCGCGCGCAUCCGCCUCAUCUCCCGCCCCGCCCCUUCCCGGAACCCACUCCGGUUACUCCGAGUCGGCGCCGGUGUCGCCGGCGAUGAGGGAGAAUAUGUGGACAGGGAGGUGGAGGAGGACCGGGAUGAGUGGUACGGGUUCGAGAUGGAGGUGCGGAAGCUACCGGGGAAGAAGAACCGCUGGCUGGUGCACGCGCGGGUGCGGGUCGGCGCGCCGCUCCAGGCCGUCUGGGCCACGCUCACCGACUACGAGGGCUUGGCCGGAUUCAUCCCCGGACUCUCCGAGUGCCGCCUCCUCCACCAGGACAAGGCCUUCACCCGCCUCUACCACGUCGGGGAGCAGGAUCUGGCUCUGGGGUUCAAGUUCAACGCCAAGGGCACCAUCGAAUGCUACGAGGGGGAGAUGGAGCUGCUGCCAGAUUCCCGGGCGCGCCACCGGGAGAUCGACUUCAACAUGGUAGACGGUGAUUUCAAGGUCUUCUAG